rnacentral:piRNA from 1 species
UCGAAUGAUUGGCAUUUGUUGGGAGGGGU